rnacentral:Y_RNA from 1 species
GGCUGGUCCUAGUGCCUUGGUGUUUUCAGAUCAUUGAUCACAACCAGUUACAGACUUUUUUCUUCCUUCUUCACCCCCACCAUUGCUUGACUAGCCUUAA